UAGGAAUCCGGCUUGUUCUAGUAUAAAUAACUUUAUAUUGUGAAACUGCGAAUGGCUCAUUAAAUCAGUUAUGAUCUACGUGACAAAUUCUUUACUACUUGGAUAACCGUGGUAAUUCUAGAGCUAAUACAUGCAAAAAAGCCCUGACUUACGAAGGGGUGCACUUAUUAGAUAAAACCAACGCGGGGUAAAACCUGUUUCUUGGUGAAUCAUAAUAAUUAAGCGGAUCGCAUGGCCUUGUGCCGGCGACGGUCCACUCGAUUUUCUGCCCUAUCAUGGUUGAGAUUGUAAGAUAGAGGCUUACAAUGCCUACAACGGGUAACGGGGAAUUAGGGUUCGAUUCCGGAGAGGGAGCCUGAGAAACGGCUACCACAUCCAAGGAAGGCAGCAGGCGCGCAAAUUACCCAAUCCCGACACGGGGAGGUAGUGACAAUACAUAACAAUGCAGGGCCUUUAAGGUCUUGCAAUUGGAAUGAGUACAAUUUAAAUCCCUUAACGAGGAUCAAUUGGAGGGCAAGUCUGGUGCCAGCAGCCGCGGUAAUUCCAGCUCCAAUAGCGUAUAUUAAAGUUGUUGCAGUUAAAACGUCCGUAGUCAAACUUUAGUCUUACCGGCGUAGUGGCCUGGUCUUCAUUGACCAAGCUCAUUGCUGCCGGAGACUCCAUGUCCAUUGACUCCUAGUCCUCGUGGCUAGGGUUUUCUGGACAAUUACCAUGAGCAAAUCAGAGUGUUUAAAGCAGGCUUUUAAGCUUGAAUGUGUUAGCAUGGAAUAAUGAAAUAUGACUUUAGUCCUAUUUUCGUUGGUUUAGGUACUUCAGUAAUGAUGAAUAGAAACGGUUAGGGGCAUUUGUAUUUGGUCGCUAGAGGUGAAAUUCUUGGAUUGACCGAAGACAAACUACUGCGAAAGCAUUUGACCCGGGACGUUUUCAUUGAUCAAGGUCUAAAGUUAAGGGAUCGAAGACGAUUAGAUACCGUCGUAGUCUUAACCACAAACUAUGCCGACUAGAGAUUGGGCGUGUUUAUUAUGACUCGCUCAGCAUCUUAGCGAAAGUAAAGUUUUUGGGUUCUGGGGGGAGUAUGGGACGCAAGGCUGAAACUUAAAGGAAUUGACGGAAGGGCACCACCAGGAGUGGAGCCUGCGGCUUAAUUUGACUCAACACGGGGAAACUCACCAGGUCCAGACAUAGUAAGGAUUGACAGAUUGAAAGCUCUUUCUAGAUUCUAUGGGUGGUGGUGCAUGGCCGUUCUUAGUUCGUGGAGUGAUUUGUCUGGUUAAUUCCGAUAACGAACGAGACCUUAUUCUGCUAAUUAGACAGGCUAACUCUUUCGGGUUGGUUUAUAUUUAAUAUUUAACUGGCUCUUAGAGAGACUAUCGCUCAGCCGAAA
rnacentral:rRNA from 2 species